CGCGUAGUCUAGCUGGUUAUGGCUCGUGGCUAUCUCCCACGUAAUCAGGGUUCGAGUCCCUGCAUCAGGA